GCGUAAUUGGUUUAGUGGUAAAAUUCUCCGUUGCCAGAGCCCUGGGUUCGAUCCCCAGAUUACGCA
rnacentral:tRNA from 2 species